GAACCAAGGGCAGUAGGACCCAGGGGAAGCCCAGCGGACUCCAACAACAGCGAGGCCCGCCCGGCCCUGCACCCCAGCUGGAAGCCCCAACCGGGGUUUCUGGGUUGGGGGCACGUGGCUGCCCUGGCACGGAAAGCUCAGAGAAAGAAUACUUUGACUGCUCCUAAGAAUCUGAAUGGAGAGCACACCCUUUUACCCCUUCAGUCUGUGAAGACCUGGAUGAAUGAUGAGACUGAAGUUAAGGCGGCAACAAGGUGAUGCUAUUCUCCAAGAACAUAAAAACUGGAUAAAGUUCUUUUGGAAAAACCAUCUUUUUUAAAUUGCCUUUGAGAAUUAAAAAUGAAGCACAUGCUAACUGUCUGCAGUCAUGGGGGUGGACCAUAGACCAUUCUUUCAGAACUUGCAAGCUCAAGACUUCGUUGUCAUUUUAGAACGCUGUGCAUUUUUUAUAGCAAUUAAGCUCACAAGCAGCUUCCAUGAAAGAUGUGAUCAAUUUAGCUGCAGGGCAGUACUGUGGCAAGGAAAUCUGGCACCCGGGACAAGGCCUGCAGUAGCAGCCCACCCUCGCUGCACGCACAGAUCCAGGGGGCAUGCACCCCGCCCCCUCCAUGCUUGUCCAGGAGUGCAUGCAGAAGUGGGAGGCGCCCUCUCCCCGUCCCUGCACCCUCCCAAAUGAGCCACUUGCAGUUUCAUCCCAUGCCCUGCCCUGGGCAGGCAGCACCUGUUGGCGCCCCUUCGCUUUGGUGCCCAAGGAGGUUGCCCUGCUCACCCCCGCUUUGCUACUGCACUGCUGAAGGAGGUUCCUGAACCCGUAACAUGGCUCCCCAGUCAAUUCUACCAUUGAAGCUGUUGAGCCUCAGACCAGAUUACACUAUCCUAAGUAUAAACUUGUCUUUUCAAAAAGUGUAUUUGGGUAAAUUUCAUAUCUUUUAUUAGACCAAUUCAAAUAGUUGCUAAGAAGAAUUGUUCCAAGCUUUUGGGUUUAAAUACCCUUCAUCAGGCUGAGGAAGCAUCUGCAGCUAAGAUACGAGAUUUACCCAAAGAACCUUGUUUGCCCAUGUCCUUAGACCAACACAGCUAUAACCUACACCUCUGUACUUUUUAAAAAGGCAAUUUUAUUCAAUAUUUACCUGAAGCAGAAUAAAACAAGGUUUUGAAAUUCUAAUUUAUAAUAGUAAAAUGAUUUGUUAUAAAUUUUCCUUAAGUUUACAGGUCAAUUGAGUGGAUGACAAACAAACAAAAGACUACUCUUCAAAGCGGGCUUCAGUCAAUACAAUAUAUAUGCAUUGUUUCAGUUUGCUGAAAGUAUAAUUUGCAAAAUCUUGUGCUUCAGAAUUCCAAGGUGCAUACACAAUGCCAACUGCAUGCAUAUCUUGUGUCUACAUCUUAGGUGAGAGAAGACAAAUUUGUAAAGAAGGUGAUGUGGGUUUUUAUAUAGUGCCUUAUGUACUUCAUAAUUAGAUGUAAAAUGAGACACUGAAUCCUAAGGGAAUAGUUAUGUGACAAGACAAAACAGAGAAAGAAAUGAAUUCACCUUACAAAUACUUGAAUGUUUCCAUGUUACCAGGUUUGGAUCAAUAUUUGUGCAACAAACAAGAGCAGUAGAAACAUAAUUUAUGAGGUAAAUGGCCCCUGGGAGAGGUCACUGGAAUGAUAUAUGCAAUAGGGAUAGAAGAAUCAAACAAUAGAGCUAGGGAACCACAAUUAUUACUGGGCAUUCAGAAUGCAGAAUAUAUUUUUCAUUGUCUGAAAACAUCAGGUUGCUAAUUAUUUGCUUUUACAUUUCGAGGUCAGUGGAGACCUCAUGAUUGAUCUAUCUAAUUGGAGCUUUUUUGUUGGGUCCUAAAAGGAAGAGAAAUUGAAAAAUCACAAAUAGACAACAGACUGCCUGCCUGGAAAGAAUUUCUUUUGAUCCUGUAUGUGCAUAUGCAUGUGUGUGAAUGCAUGCGUACAGGGGUAUCUUCCCCUCAAUAUUUCCUCCAGAUAACAAGUACUCUCAGUGUGAUUAGUGGGAUGUUCUUUACUAGGAUCCAGUAAUUUGCACAUGCAACCAGAGACCCACGGGAUAAACCAAGUCAGUACAUAAAGUUACCUUUAAUGCAUUUCCUUUAUGAGAUCAAUACAUCUAAUAUAUUUGUUUAUUAAAAGAAUGUUGCCUCUGAUCUACAAUGCAGACUCCUUGAAAAAAAUCUGACUAUACCAUGUAUUUAUGUUAAAUAUGUAAAACUGUAAAUUGACAGGAAAUAUAUGAAAAUAGCUAAAUAAAGUGAACUAUAUAAGUUUAA